AUUCCCGUUGAUCCUGCGGGAGAUUGCUGCUAUUGGAAUUCGACAUCCUGCGGGAGAUUGCUGCUAUUGGAAUUCGACUUAGGCAUGCAAGUUAGGGGUUCUUCGGAACACCGGCGAAAGGCUCAGUAACACGUCGACAAUCUGCCUUUAGGCCAGGGAUAACGUCGGGAAACUGACGCUAAAACCUGAUAGAGGAUUUCUACUGGAAUGUGUUUUCCUUCAAAGCUUCGGCACCUAAAGAUGAGUCGGCGGCUGAUUAGGCUGUUGGUGAGGUAACGGCUCACCAAACCUUUGAUCAGUAGGGGGGAUGAAAGUCCUAACCCCGAGAAGGGCACUGAGAUACUGGCCCUAGUCCUAAGGGACGCAGCAGCCACGGGACCUUUACAAUGCACGAAAGUGUGAUAAGGGGAUUCCAAGUGCUUUACCACACGGUAAGGCUUUUGCUAAGCGAAAACAACUUGGCGAAUAAGUGGUGGGUAAGACCGGUGCCAGCAGCCGCGGUAAUCCCGGCGCCACAAGUGGCAAUCAUUAUUAUUGGGUCUAAAGCAUCCGUAGCUGGUUUAGUUAGUUUUCUGUGAAAUUGUUAGGCUUAACCUAACAACGUGCAGGAAAUACUGCUAGACUUGAGACCGGGAGGGGAUAGAAGUAUUCCUGGGGGAGCGGUAAAAUGUGUUAAUCCUAGGAGGACUACCUAUGGCGAAGGCAUCUAUCCAGAACGGGUCUGACAGUGAGGGAUGAAGGCUAGGAGAACGAUCGGGAUUAGAUACCCCAGUAGCCCUAGAGUAGCCCUAGCAGUAAACGCUGUGAGCUAUGUGUUGCAUAUUCUCCGGAAUGUGCAGUGCCGAAGCGAAGGCAUUAAGCUCACCACCUGGGAAGUACGGUCGCAAGAUUGAAACUUAAAGGAAUUGGCGGGGGCGCACUACAAGGAGUGGAGCGUGCGGUUCAAUCGGAUUCUACCCCUGAAAUCUUACCAGAAGCGACGGCAGGAUGAAGGUCAGAUUGAAGGUCUUACCUAACGAGCCGAGAGAUGGUGCAUGGCCGUCGUCAGUUCGUGCCGUAAGGUGUCCUGUUAAGUCAGGCAACGAACAAGACCUAUAUCAACAUUUGCCAGCAAGUCCUCUUGGAUGAUUGGGCACUAUGUUGAGACUGCCUCGGAAACGAGGAGGAAGGUGUAGGCAACGAUAGGUCUGUAUGCCUCGAAUCUUCUGGGCUACACGCGCGCGACAAUGGUAGGGACAAUGGGAUGCAACUCCGAAAGGAGAAGCCAAUCCUCGAAACCCUAUCUUAGUACAGAUUGAGGGCUGUAACUCGCUCUCAUGACGCUGGAAUUCCUAGUAAUUGGACGUCAAUAACGUCCAGUGAAUAAGUCCCUGUGCCUUGCACACACCGCCCGUCAAACCAACCGAGCAGGGGCUAGGUGAGAUUUAGCUUUAACUAACUCGAACCUAAUCUCAGUAAGGUGGGUUAAGUCGUCACAAGGUAACCGUAGGGGAACCUGCGGUUGGAUCACCUC
rnacentral:rRNA from 1 species